rnacentral:rRNA from 1 species
GAUGAACACUAGCGGGAUGCCUUACACAUGCAAGUCGAACGGCAGCGCGGACUUCGGUCUGGCGGCGAGUGGCGAACGGGUGAGUAAUGUAUCGGAACGUGCCCAGUAGCGGGGGAUAACUACUCGAAAGAGUAGCUAAUACCGCAUACGCCCUACGGGGGAAAGGGGGGGAUCGCAAGACCUCUCACUAUUGGAGCGGCCGAUAUCGGAUUAGCUAGUUGGUGAGGUAAAGGCUCACCAAGGCGACGAUCCGUAGCUGGUUUGAGAGGACGACCAGCCACACUGGGACUGAGACACGGCCCAGACUCCUACGGGAGGCAGCAGUGGGGAAUUUUGGACAAUGGGGGAAACCCUGAUCCAGCCAUUCCGCGUGUGCGAUGAAGGCCUUCGGGUUGUAAAGCACUUUUGGCAGGAAAGAAAUCGCAUCAAUUAAUACUUGGUGUGGAUGACGGUACCUGCAGAAUAAGCACCGGCUAACUACGUGCCAGCCGCCGCGGUAA